CUAUCAACAUGCGUCCCUCUGAAAUGAAGCCCACAGAAGCAUGACGCUGCUUUCUGUUUGUGUCUCUGUAUCCUCAGAGUCCAGAGGUCAGGUCACAGUGACUCAGCCUGGAGCAGUGAGCUCUGCUCUGGGAGGCUCUGUCACCAUCAGCUGUAAGACCAGUCAGAGGGUCAAAGAUGGAGAUGAACAAUACUGGUACCAACAGAAAGAUGGACAACCUCCUAAACAGCUCACCAGCUAUGGUAAUCGCAAAGUGUCAGGAAUCCCAGAUCGAUUUUCAUUCAGCGGAUCAAACACUGACUUCACUCUGAGCAUCAGUGGAGUUCAGGCUGAAGAUGCUGCAGUUUAUCACUGCAAAGGUCGAUUCAACAUCAACAGUCAAUAUUCGUUCACACAGUGAAAAAGCGUCGUACAAAAACCUCCUCAGUCAGACUGAACAGAAACUGAGUUGACUCACUUCACUGAACACACACACACACACACACACACACACACACACACAUUUUUGUAUACGUAUUUUCUACGUCUGUCAUCUGAACCAUCACAACUACACAACAAAACCCAACUCUAACACUAUCACAACCUUAACUGUGUUCUAACCUGAACCCACAAAGCCAAGUGUUGAUGAAAACUUAACAGCUACAAGACUGAAGCAAUGAAAUGUUGAGAAUACACAAGUCAGUGAAAUAAAUAAAAACAAGACAUUUAAAAGAAAACCAAUGAUGAAG